AGAGUUAACAAGUUCCACCCCCACACACUGAGUUUCUAAUUUGCUUUUAAGCGUCUCAUUUCAAAAUGUGAGCCUUAGUCAAUGACCACCAAAACUCUGAGGAAAUUCCCUAACUUGAAAAAUACAAUUGACUCUCCAAAAACUUAACUACUAAUAGCCUACUCUUGACUGGAAGACUUACCAAUAACAUAAACAAUCACUAAACACUUUUUUAUCAUAUAUGUAUUAUAUAUUGUAUUCUUACAAUAAAGUAAGCUAGAGAAAAGAAAAUCUUAUGAAGAAAAUCAUAAGGAGGAAAAAAAUAUGUAUUUUUUAUUGAGUGGAAGUGGAUCGUCACAAAGGUCCUUACCUUAGUCAUCUUCACGUUGAAUAGGCUAAGGAAAAGAAGCAAGAGGAAGGGUUGGUCUUGCUGUCUCAGGGUGCAGAAGCAGAAGAUAAUCCACAUAUUAGCAGACUCAGGCAGUUCAAAUUCAUGUUAUUCAAGGGCCAACUGUAAAGGCCAAAAUAUUAUGGGGGAAAAAAAAGCAACUUAUAGAAAACUCUGCAGGAAAAUAAAAACUUCAAAAGGAAACUAUCAUCAACAUCCUCAGACAAAUAGGAGAAGUUAUUGUAAUUUAUUAAAUAAAAACAAUAUUCUGGCAAAAGGAAAACAAUUGUAAAACAAGAUAGUAAUUAUAAAUUCAAAUUUGACAGCCAGAAUGAAAAUUUCAGUCAAAUAGUUAGAAGAUAAAUUUAGGGAAAUCUCUUAGAAAGUAGAAUGAAAAAUCAAAAAGAUGGAAGAUAUGAUAUAAAAGAUAAGAAAUAUAGAAAAUCAUUCUAGGAGUUCAUCAACUGAGUAACUAAAAUUUCAGAAAAAGAACUUGAAAAAUAGAAGAAAAAAGACACAAGAAAUAAUCCAAGAAAUUUAUCAGUACUGAAGGGCAUGAGUUUCUAGACUUAAAAGGUACAGUAAAUAUUCAGUACAAUAGAUAAAAAUAAACUCACACUAAGUUCCAUCAUCUUAAACUUUCAGAACAAUAGACAUAAAAGAGGGAAUUUUAAAACUUUUCAGAAAAAGGUAAAAAUCAUUGCUCAAAAUACCAAAAUGACUGUGAAUUUCUCAACAGCCCCAGUAGAAGCAAAAAGAUAAUGUAACAAUGACUUUAGAAUUCUGUAGAAAAAAAUUAUUUCUAGCCUAGAAUUCUACACCUAUCAAAGUUAACAAUUAAAUAUUUGGGUGGGAUACAAACAUUUCAGACAUAAGUCUCAAAACAAUUACCUGCCGUGAGCCCAUACUGGAGAUCCUUUUGUAGUUCAUAAGCAUGAUGAUCGGGUGUUCAUGUCCGAGCAUGAGAUGUGCCUCCCUCAAACCUUGUUGUGACGUUGGCACAUUUCCCAUCUGAUGUGAAAAAGGAAAAAAAAAAAAAAGAAGAAGAAGCUACUAGGUAAGUCCAAAAUUAUGAGGCAAAGCAAGAAAGAGGAAGACAUGGAGUCUGGGAAAUGAGAACGUCAAUCCAAGAAAGAGCAAAGGAAAUCCCAGAGAUAAAGGCAAAGGGAGAUCCAAGUAUAGCCAUGUACUCAGCCUAGAAAUAAACUAGUCCAGGCUGGAGCAGCUCUGUAGGGUACAGGAAAGAUGAUCGAAAGAUGGCUUUGUUAGAAUACCGGAUGUGAGUGAGUGUAUUGAGAGGAAAUUUAAACAACCGAGGAGAAAGUUUGGAGUGAAUUAGUGAUAGAAAACAAAACAAAGGAAGAAAAAACAAUAUAACUAUUAACUCCAGGAAAACCUAAAGAUUGUGCAAGAAAAUAAAAGUAAGCACAUUUCAGCUGUGAAGAGUAUUUAUAGGGACAGGAAAAUAUACACACUGAAUAUUAACCUAAGCAAAAUUAUGAAAUAACAGUAGUGGGAUAAUGAGAGCAUGGGGGUCCGGGGGUUCAGGAACCGUGCAUGAUGGGGCAUGGUAGAAAUGGUAAAAGAGGGCUAAAAUAGUGAGAGGCUAACAGUUAAUGCUUAAAGCAUUAGGCAAAAAAGAAGGAGCACUAUAAGCAUAUACCAGUGACAUGGAGGCGAUACCAAAAUAACCAGCUGCAAGAGCUGAAUGUGUUGAUUCUAGGAAGCAGGAAAUGCUGGGUCAAGAGAAGAGUCUAUUAUUUUUCACUAUGCCUUCUAAAAUUAUUUAACCCUGAAAAUCAUGUGUGUGUAUAAAGUUAAUCAAAAUUAAAACUAAAUUUUAAAAUAAUCAUGCAUCAAUGAUAAAUUAAAAGGAUGAUUUUAAUUUGGCUUCUCUUUGUCAUGUGCACACAUAGACACACGGAGCCAUUUGGGCAAUACAUUUUGCAAAGCAUCUAAAUGCAUGAAAAUAUUCCAGGAAAGUGUUAAUGAUGGCCUAGGCCAAUCUGUCUUUUGUAAAUAAUUUCUCAGGCAAGUAUACUAAUUAGAGCUAAGAUAGGCAAAUGAUACAACAACCCACCAAUCAAGAGCAUUUGCUGCUCGUCUAUUGAACACAUAGCAAUAAAUAUUCAACAUUCUGUGGGGUAAACAACCAAGUGUAAGAUAUGGUUUCUGGCAUUAUGGAUUUUAUGAUCCAAUUAAAGACAUGAAACAUAAACUUUUGUAAAGUUAAAUGACAGUACAAAAUGUAUAAAUAAGGUUUUAUUUAAAAAGUAAAAGAUGUUGCAAGAUAAUACAUGACUUUUGCUAAGUCGAUGCCGCAGACUACAGAAGUGUUAUUGUUUAGAACAAAGAAAAGUCAGGAUGCAGGGAAGGGAUCUCAGAGAAAAGAGAUUAGAAAUAGGUCUUGAAAAAAUGGGCUGGAUUUGAAUGAAUGGAGGAAUAGGGGAAUUCCAAAGGCGGAUCCAGGAAAGGAAGAUGUCGUCUUGGCACCGUGAAGAGAUUACAGGUUUCAGAGCCUAGGCGUUUGAGUGACAGCCUGCUCACCAGAACGGGACAGCAAUUAGCCUUUGGCCUGAGGAAAGCAACUUGUUCAGAAUAAAGUAUUUUUAUCACCCACAGUGAGGCCAAGAAUCCAGUCAGAUGUCCUGUUGGGAUGUGAAUCUGUCAUUUUAUGAGCUCAAAAAACCCCAGGAAUGGCUUCGAAUCCAUGUUACAGGUCCGAGUUCCCUGGAAACAGCAAUUGCCUCUUAGCAAAAUCAUUAAUUAGGGCAUUGCCUUAAUUCCAUUGUGAAUAAUAAAAAUAUGUGCACAGACUUCUGUACUUUGAUGAAAGCAUCAGGGUGUGAUUUAUGGGGGAAGAUGCUCUCCGGGGAAUAUAAAUAUGUAAGCCUUACAUACUUAUAAAGUUCAAGCACAUUACCUCUUCAACGGCUUUCAAAACUAAAGUGACCUCAGUUCAGUCAAAUAAAUAGGACAGACAUGUAAAUUAGCAAAAGAAGUGCUCUGACAUUUAUGCAAGGCUUAUAUCCCACGAUGAACAAUAUCUAGAUCAGUGGGAAGUCGGAAGCAUUCUAUAUGUAGCUAUCGCCAGACAAAUCUAAACACUUGGUAGGCACUCAAAAAAAACUUACUGAUUUUAAGUAAUUAAAGGGGAUCUGGUGGGCAGAUACAAAAAGACAGAAGUCGCAUCAUGAGGCAAGGUUGCGACCGGAGUCUUUCUAGCCAGUUCCAGAAGAGCAGGUGGUUAUAUCCACCAGUGCCCAGAAGAGGGCAGCCAAGAGCUGCUCAACUGGAACCUUCCUGGGAAGGACACCCACUUGGCACCAGCCAGGGUAAACUGUCCUCUCCCCGGCACACAGAACAGAAUCAGCCCAGAACUGAUUGGUGAAGAAGUUUGGGGAGAAAAAAAGCAGGGGUGGGAAACAUGGACUAAAGGUGUUCAAGACAGAUGAAGAACCAGACCAAGAAGAAUCAUGGAGAAGCCAGAGAAUGGAAAAGAAAGACAGCAGCCAGAGGUCAAAGGAACAAGGCACAGGAGUGCAGCAGCCCUGACCUUGCCACUCCCCUGCUCAAAAGAGUUCAAUGGCUCCCUACUGUCCAUCACACAAACUUCGUAGCCUGACAUUCAGGGUCCCACUCUAAUCUAACCCUAACCCACCUUAAGAAUCUUGGGAUUUGCUAGGUUUUUAAUCAUACACUCAAGAUUCCAAGCAAACCAAAGUCUUUCUUGUGACUUUCUUCCUCAGUGUCUUUGUUCCUCCUGUCCCUUCACUCACUGCUCUAAACAAUGAGUGGCUGCCACAUACUAGUAAUGAGAGGAAGGGAUACAGGAUCAACCAGAAGAAGUGCCCACCUUCAAAGCUGCCAGGAAGAGACAGUGCCAUGUACUACCAUGAGGGAAGCAAGAGUGGAUGGGGUGGAGAGAUAAGUGGCUAAGUCAGGCUGUCCGAAAAGGCUUCUUGGAGGAGGUGACCAUCCCCCUGAAAUCACCUUGCCUUUCCUCUCCACUCAUCUAAACCUUCAGCGCCUGCUGAAGGACCAUCUGUUGUUUUCAUCUGCCUGCCUGCCUAUUCCCACUCCUGGUAAAAUAUUCCAUCUCCUCCUUUAGGAAACUGCUCCCUACCCCAUCUGCCAGGUAGGCUGAUCUGGUAAUGUGGUUGAUCAUAUUACCCCAUCCUCUGAUCCACAGAGGUUGGUUCAAGGAAGAUCCUUCAAGACAGACUAAUCAGAUGUCUUCCCUGGAGUUUUCCCCUCCAUUUUGGAAUUGAAGGAAUAGCUAGCUUUCUCUUUCCCCUGGAUUGGAAGCUGACAAGAUAGAUACCAGAGCUGCUGAUGCCAUGUCCCUUGCCUCAUGGAGGAUUCUGAGAGAAUAAACUGGAAAGAGAUGGAGAAAAUUGACACUAUACAAAUGCCAGAAUUCAGUUGCCCUGAAUUAGGGCAAGGCCUCUGCUCCACUGUGAGCAGCAAAAGCCCAAUUCCAGAGCUCAGCCAAAGGAGUUUGUUUUUCUUGGGUAGCAGAUGUUUAAAAGGCCAGUGGACAAGCUCUGCUGCUCUGGCUUCAUGAUGACAUCAAAGACCGUUUUCCUCCGCCAUCCCCAUCACAUGAAUCUCCUCAUGCUCCAAAAUGAUUGCUACAUCUCUGGGGUUAUAUCCACAUUCCACACUGGAAGGGCAGAAAGCAUGUGCCCAUUGAGGGUAUCCCUUUUCAUCAGAAAAAUAAUAUAUUCCCAGAAAACCCAACCUGUAUCCUUCUGCUUACAUCUCAGUGUUCAGAAGUGUCACAUGGCCACCCCUCACUGCAAGGAAGUCCAAACAGCUGAGUAUUUUUAACUGGCAUACUGAGACAACAGAGGAAAUACACAUUGUGUAAGUAACUGGUGGUAUCUGCUCAAGUCCUAAAUGUCUUUGUUUGCCUGCAUAAACCCAUAAAUUCUCCUUUUUUGCUUAAGCUAGCUGGAGAUGGGUGUUUGUAACUUUCAAUCAAAAAGCCAUGGCUAAGACACCUGCCAAAUGCCACCACCACCAUAGAGCCUCCCUGAUCUCACUACAUCAGAAUAAUCUUGAUGUCUUCAACUUCCAACAGGUCCUUUUCCCACCAGCAACCUGAGGAAGGGAAAUCACAGGGACAGGGCGAUCGCACCUAGGCAGCCAAACCCCACCCCAGCAGCCAAAGCAGGCAGAAGAACCCUGCCAGCAGGAUUGCUGGAAUCUAGCUCUCUUCUCUCUCUCGCUUCACCUGCGAAGGGCCACAAAAGAGCUGUUUCAAAGCCAUCAGCAUCAUGAACCCAGCCACUGCUAUUGACCCCAUAUGCUGAACCCAGCAAUAAAUACUAUCCAGGGCUUGUUGCUGGCAAGAAAGGGGGAGAGAGCAACAGCCCUGAUUUGCCACUAAAACACUUAAACAUAAUAGGAUACAUCUACAGGAUGAAGCACUAGAAAGGAAUAAAAAGAGAAUGAGGAAGCUCUGGAUGCAUUAAUGUGAAACACUUCUAAAACCGUUACUAAGAGGAAAAAAGCUAAUUGCAAAAUGGUGCCCGUAUAUAUAUGAGAUAUAUAGAUAGGAUAUAUAUAUACACAUAUAAAAUAAUCAUUUGUGAUAAAAGAAAGAAAAAUAGUAUCUGCACCAAUAUUUGUACCUGCAGAAAAUAUCUCUAGAAGGAUAUACAAUGCAAGAGACUGGUACUUUUGGCUGCCUAUAGGGUGAAGAACAGGAAGGCUACAAAAUAGGAGGGCAAUGUUUCUCCGUACGCUCUUUAAACCUUUUGAAUUUUGGACCUAGGAGUGAACCACCUAUUUGAAAAAGAAUGAAAAUAUGUUUCUGUAAGUAAACACAUUACAGUUUGUGCUGGUAUGUCUGGUAUGUUUUGUUUAGUUAAGGCAAAACAAUAGGAAGGAUGAAAUUGGCAAACUGG
rnacentral:lncRNA from 1 species